rnacentral:tRNA from 1 species
GGAUGGGUGCCCGAGUGGUUUAAGGGACCGGUCUUGAAAACCGGCAAGGGUUAACGCCCUUCGUGGGUUCGAAUCCCACCCCAUCCGCCA